UACGGAGGGUGCAAACGUUGCUCGGAAUUACUGGGCGUAAAGCGUGCGCAGGCGGCGCGUUAAGACAGGUGUGAAAGCCCCGAGCUUAACUUGGGAAUUGCGCUUGUGACUGGCGUGCUGGAGUGUGGCAGAGGGAGGUGGAAUUCCACGUGUAGCAGUGAAAUGCGUAGAGAUGUGGAGGAACACCGAUGGCGAAGGCAGCCUCCUGGGCCAGCACUGACGCUCAUGCACGAAAGCGUGGGGAGCAAACAGG
rnacentral:rRNA from 1 species